rnacentral:rRNA from 1 species
AUACGUAGGGGGCGAGCGUUGUCCGGAAUGAUUGGGCGUAAAGGGCGCGUAGGCGGCCCGGUAAGUCUGGAGUGAAAGUCCUGUUUUUAAGAUGGGAAUUGCUUUGGAUACUGUCGGGCUUGAGUGCAGGAGAGGUAAGUGGAAUUCCCAGUGUAGCGGUGAAAUGCGUAGAGAUUGGGAGGAACACCAGUGGCGAAGGCGACUUACUGGACUGUAACUGACGCUGAGGCGCGAAAGUGUGGGGAGCAAACAGGAUUAGAUACCCUGGUAGUCCACACUGUAAACGAUGAAUGCUAGGUGAAGGGGGUAUCGACCCCUUCUGUGCCGCAGUCAACACAAUAAGCAUUCCGCCUGGGGAGUACGGCCGCAAGGUUGAAACUCAAAGGAAUUGACGGGG